GAAAGUGGGGAUUUGGGGGUGGGAUGUGGAAAUAGAGCCUGGGAGGAGCACAGGGUUUGGGGCUGAGGGCUUUGGGGCUGAAUUUGGGUACAUGGGGCGCUUUGGGGAUGGAUGUGGGGGUUUGGAGACAUUCCUGUUUUGGGGCUGAAUGUGGGGGUUUGGAGACAUCCCUGUAUACUUGGAGAUAUCCCCAUUUGGGGGCUGGAUGUGGGGAUUUGGGGGCUGGAUGUGGGGAUUUGGGGCUGGAUGUGGGGAUUU
rnacentral:lncRNA from 1 species